UUUCUCCUCUUUCUGGAGGCGGUUUUAUAGCGGUGGGUAGGGCCGGCAGCUCGGCGCUGCCCAGCCCCGCGGCGAGGGGUCGCGCCUCCGCCCCGACGUGCCGGGCCCCGCCGGGGCGAUGCCCGGGGCAGGAGGAGCGGUGGCUCUGCUGGCGCUGCGCUCACUUUUUGCACCUCUGCGAGUUGCUGGGCAUCGGCCGCUUUCAAGGCAGUGGUGCGGGGGUGGAGGGCCGAGGGGGGGCGGAUUUGCUGCUGCAAAGUCUCCCGCGGCCCAAUAGCUCCCGCCGCCCUGCGCUGACAUCAGCUCCGCCAGCCCUCACCCCCAAACUCCGCUCCCCAUGGGCUGCCGGCUGUGCCCGGCUCCCGGCAGAGAGCGAGGGAGAGUGGCCCCGGAGGGAAUAAAAACAUCCUGCUGCCUCGUCUGCGAGAAGCCGGAGGGGCAGCUGUGCAAGAAGGGAGGCUGCAGGCGGGAUUGCCAGCCGUUCCCCUCGCCACCGCCCCCCCCCUCCUCGCUCUAGACCAUGUGGAUGCUGAACAGUCUGUUUCCAGAGACCGAGAAAUGCUGCUGCCGUCCUCCCUAACCAAACCCUUAUUAACUAGUUCACUAAUUUCAAUGCCUAUUAUGCCCAGGGAAACAAUAUGAGUUACUGCUGAAGGAUCCCUGUAUCCACGAGCCUUCUGCAAGAGGCUGAGUGUAGCGAUUCCCCUUGAAUCUCCAGUCUUUAAGCUUGUGUUGCCCUAAGCACAGCUGACCCUCGUCUACUCACGUGGCAAAAGGUUGUAGCUGUGUGCAAAACGCAACUGCAUAUCCAACCGCAUAUAAACCAACUUCUGACCACUCUGGAAAUGAAGCCACUCAGUUGAGAAGCCAGUUUUAGAAAACUCUCUUCUGUGCUCUGUUAGAGAUCUAAAAGAGAAGCAAGGUCCAGUUAGAAAGAAAAUGAGCUUCCCAGGAUAUUAAUUAAUUUUUAGGAAUGGCUUCAAGUUGCACACAUUCUUUAAUGUUUCUGAAGAUUUUCUUUCUGAUAACAUUUUCUUAUGCUCUCAAAAUUGCUGAGGUGUUACAAAGAUAGGCUGGCAUGGCCCAUCCCUCCAGAAGUCAUGCUAUCAAACCAACCUGAAAAGCCACCAAUUCUCAGACACCAUUAUUGGAUGUUCACAAUUUCAUGAGCUGCUUUUCAGUUCUGGGCACAGGUGUGAGCAAGCAUCAUCAAGGCAACAUUGGCAGCAGCUGAACUAUACUGGCAGUACAGCUCCCUCCUAAACUGGUUUCAGGUGUGAGUCCUGAGGUGAAAGACUCUUCUCUAUGCUGUCUGGAGAGCUGUGACCUCUUGUAACCCAUCACAACUACUGAUCCCAGUCAGUAGAUCAAAACUUACAUUCCUGUUCUUUUAACACAGGCAGGUCUCUUUCAGCACUAGAGGUACUACUCAAGCAAAGAGUCCAAACUUUGUGGGCUUUGUGACAAUUCACUCAGGAUCUCUUAAGAGAAGUGAAGGGCAGUCCAAGCAGUUUUAUCAACUUGAAAACUGAUGAUGACUGAGAGAGUGUGAUGGGGAAGGAGAGUGUGAAGGUGGCUGCCAGGUUGCACACCUUAUUUAUAAAUUACCAUUUAAAUUUCCAUGUCUAAGCAAUGUAAGGGCAGAGUUGAAAAAGUUA